rnacentral:rRNA from 1 species
UACGAAGGGGGCUAGCGUUGUUCGAAUUUACUGGGCGUAAAGCGCACGUAGGCGGAUUGUUAAGUCAGGGGUGAAAUCCCGCAGCUCAACUGCGGAACUGCCUUUGAUACUGGCAAUCUCGAGUCCGGAAGAGGUGAGUGGAACUCCUAGUGUAGAGGUGGAAUUCGUAGAUAUUAGGAAGAACACCAGUGGCGAAGGCGGCUCACUGGUCCGGAACUGACGCUGAGGUGCGAAAGCGUGGGGAGCAAACAGG